rfam:Oscillochloris trichoides DG6 genomic scaffold OSCTscaffold_7, whole genome shotgun sequence.
AGGGAAGACACCAUGAGCACACGACGGAUGCCAUGGCGCAACGUGCCGAUGAAGGACGGGGCACCGCUCCGAUAUGCUGCGGGGAGUCGCACGCAGGCUGUGAUCCGCAGAUCUCCGAAUGGGGCAACCCACCGCUUCGGCGGUACCACGUAAGUGGAGGGCACCCGGCCAACUGAAACAUCUCAGUAGCCGGAGGAAGAGAGAACGACACCCGUAGUAGUGGCGAACGAACCGGGUAAGAGCCUAAACCAGGCCGGUGUCAAGGGGCCACCGUUGCCGGUCUGGGGUUGUAGGGCCGAACACGGAUACUGGCCGGUAUCCACGUUUUCCUGAGUCAGCAGGCGAAGCGGUCUGGAAAGCCGCACCAGAGCGCGUGAGAGUCGCGUAGCCGCUGACGACCGAGACGGGUUCGGUACCUGAGUACGUCCGGGCACGAAGAACCUGGGCGGAAGCCAGGGGGACCACCCUCUAAGGCAAGCUACACGUUGCGACCGAUAGCGAACAGUACCGUGAGGGAACGGUGAAAAGUACCCCGGUGAGGGGAGUGAAAGAGACCCUGAAAUCGUGUGCUUGCAUGCCGUGGGAGGGCUAGGGCGUAAGUCAAGCCUGACCGCGUGCCUUUUGGAGUAUGAUCCGGCGAGUUACCUUCGGUGGCGCGGUUAAGGCAGAAACAGCUGGAGCCGCAGGGAAACCGAGUCUUCACGGGCGACAUCGUCGCCGGAGGUAGACGCGAAACCAUGUGAGCUACCCAUGGUCAGGCUGAAGCGUCCCUAACAGGACGUGGAGGGCCGCACCGGUGUGGGUUACAAACCGCUCGGAUGAACUGUGGGUAGGGGUGAAAUGCCAAUCGAACAUGGAGAUAGCUCGUUCUCCCCGAAAUGUAUUGAGGUACAGCCGCGGCUUAGUCGCCGUCGGAGGUAGAGCACUGUUGUUGUGCGGGGGCUUCACCGCUUACCAAGCGACGGCAAACUGCGAAUACCGACGCGCGAGCACCGCGAGUGAGACGGCGAGUGCGAAUAUCCGUCGUCGAGAGGGAAACAGCCCAGACCGCCAGCUAAGGCCCCCAAAUCACUACUCAGUGGGAAAGGUUGUGGUGCCGCGCAGACAACCAGGAGGUUGGCUUAGAAGCAGCCACCCUUAAAAGAGUGCGUAAUAGCUCACUGGUCGAGUAGCGCUGCGCCGAUGCUUCACCGGGGCAAAGUAGUGUGCCGACGCUGCGGGAGGAGUGAUCCUCGGUAGGGGAGCGUCGUUGGGGCAGAGAAGCCAGAACGGAAGUCCUGGUGGAGCGCCAACGAGUGCGAAUGCCGGAAUGAGUAACAGAGAAGUGGGGUCGCAACCCCCACCACCGCAAGCCCAAGGGUUCCGCCGCACGGGUACACCGCGGCGGGUGAGUCGGGCCUAAGGCGUAGCCGAAGGGCGAAGCCGAUGGACAAUCGGUUGAUAUUCCGAUACCGUGUUCUGGUCGUUUGACCAAUGCCGAAUGCUGGGGGGGAGUCGCCGCGGCGAGACGAGCGCCGUGUAAGCCGGUAGGGAGCGUUGGGAGGCAAAUCCCCUGACGCGCUGACCGAGAGGCAAUGCCGAGGCCACGGAGGAAUCCACGGCCAAGGGCGAGGCACCUGGACAGCCGAGAAAGGUCGGCUCGGGAGACCAGACAUGACCGUACCGCAAACCGACACAGGUGGGCUGGUCGAGGAGACCAAGGUGAACGAGUGAUCCCUAGUUAAGGAACUCGGCAAAUUGACCCCGUACCUUCGGAAGAAGGGGUGCUGCGUGUAGUGUGAAGCCCCUCGCGGGUGGAGCACGAGGCAGCCGCAGGGUCCAGGCCCGGGCGACUGGAUAACAGAACCACAGCUCCCUGCUCAAAGCGCAAGCUGACGUAUAGGGGGUGAUGCCUGCCCAGUGCCGGAAGGUUAAGGGGAGGGGUGCAAGCUCCGAACCGAAGCCCCGGUAAACGGCGGCUGUAACUAUAACAGUCCUAAGGUAGCGAAAUUCCUUGUCGGGUAAGUUCCGACCCGCACGAAAGGCAUCACGAUCUGGGCACUGUCUCAACUAGGGGCUCGGUGAAAUUGCAGUGGCCGUGAAGAUGCGGCCAACUCAGAGCGGGACAAAAAGACCCCGUGGAGCUUUACUACAACUUGCCAUCGGAUAGAUCGCUGCGAUGCGUAGGAUAGGUGGGAGGCAGAGAACCGGCCCUCGCGGGGGUCGGGGAGCCACUGGUGAAAUACCACUCUUCGUUGCGGUCCAUCCUCACCCGCAGGCCGCGGGGACGGUGGCUGGUGGGUAGUUUGACUGGGGCGGUCGCCUCCCAAAAGGUAACGGAGGCGCACAAAGGUACCCUCACGUGGGAUGGCCAUCCACGAGCGCGUGCAACGGCACAAGGGUGCUUGACUGCGAGACAGACAGGUCGAGCAGGGACGAAAGUCGGUCGUAGUGAUCCCACAGUGCUGUGUGGAAAGGCUGUGGCUUAACGGACAAAAGCUACCCCGGGGAUAACAGGCUCAGACCGCCCAAGAGUUCAUAUCGACGGCGGAGCGUGGCACCUCGAUGUCGGCUCGUCGCAUCCUGGGGCUGGAGUAGGUCCCAAGGGUUGGGCUGUUCGCCCAUUAAAGCGGCACGCGAGCUGGGUUCAGAACGUCGUGAGACAGUUCGGUCUCUAUCCGCUCUGAGCGCUUAGAGUAUUGCGAGGGGCUGGCCCUAGUACGAGAGGACCGGGCUGGACGAACCGCUGGUGGAGGAGUUGUGGGGCGUCCUGCAGGCUCCGUAGCUAUGUUCGGAAACAAGAACCGCUGAAAGCAUCUAAGUGGGAAAUGUGCCUCAAGAUGAGUACUCUCGCAGCUAUAGGCUGGUAAGACUCCCAGGAGAUGACUGGGGUACGCAGCGAGCACUGGACGCGUCGCGAGGCGUGGAGGUGACUCGAGUGCAGAGUCGAGGGCUUCCCUCC